CUAUUACAUAUAUAAAGGGGAGAAAUAAUGGAGUCAAACUAUAGUUUCUCUAUCGCACAAACUGUAACAGGUAAUAAUGAGGUCUUCAGUCGCUGUUGUCUUUGCCGUCCUGUGCCUGACAGGAUCUGUAUACUCUCAGACCAUCAGUACAAACACCUUCUUCAACAACCUGAACAGCUUCAUCAGCAACAACCCAGCCCUGGCGCUGUCCUUCGUCGCUCCCUUUCUUGCCGCCAACAGCCUGGGACCCAACCCCAGCGGUGUGAUCAUUCCCCCACCCCCACCAUUCAUCCCCAUGGUCCCUCCCAUGGCAAUGAUGCCACCCAUCAUUGUCAGGAAGCACCACUACUGAGGUGUGGAUGAUAUGAAAGAUGCUGGAACUUCCAUGGUUAUCUAUCAACAACACAUACAUUUUUAGGAUGAACUCAUCUAAGAGACCCGCCAUUUUUGACGUUGACGUCACAUCCGUGGUCCACGCUUAGACGGAGAUGAAAGGUUGAGGACUGGAAUAUUGCUUGUUAUAGUUUUUAAUAAACCCAAAACAAAACUA